CAACCCGUUCUCAUCAGUCUGCGUAUAAAUAACACGACUUUACACUUUCUAUUUGCGUGUAAUGCAUACGCCAAAUGCCAUUUUUGCGUGCAUAUGAUACGCCAAUCCUUCCCAUUAAUUUCGGUGGAGAGCAGAUGCGUCCAAAUAACACGCAUCAUCUUCAGCGGCAGUGACGUCACUAGCGAGGCUCGUUCAGUUCACCUGAUGCGCGUACACCUUCAAACAGGUAAGCAAGGAAUUAACAGGGAACUUCAACUCCACGCUCCCAAUGCUGAUAUUGAAGAAGCUGUCAAGGGGGCUGAACAAGUCCUUCAAAGGAUCAACCCUUCACAGGAAGGCCUGUCAUGAGAUUUGAAUUUGACCAUCUUGUGCAUUUAUGAAGAAGACCAAAAGCUGCAAAGGCAAACACUUCCAAUGGAUUUCUCACAGAUUACUUAAUCAUUCUUCAUCAGCUCUUCACAAUAUCAGCCCAUUCAAAAGCUUCCAGAUCUUCCUCUCUUGUGUGACACAUCUGCUCUCAGUCCUUUACUGCCAACCUCCAGUCUUAGCAUUUCUGCUUGUAUUAAUUUUUCCUCUACAUUCAUCACUCCAAUCUCUACUAUAAGCACUCCUGUAUAUAUAUAUAUACACAUAAUAAUAAUAAUAAUUAUUAUUAACCAUUUAUUUGUUUUGCAUUUAUUCACAAUAGAAGCAAACAAUGAUUACAGGAUAUAUGUUUUUAAAGGUGAUAAUUGUAAAAUAUUGGAGCAUUGUUCUUAAUCAUUUUUGCCUAUUUGGUUGAUAAAGGGAAGAAAACAAUAUAUUUUCAACUGUAGCAUUGAUUAUUCUUUGGCAUCUUUUGUCAGGAUUUCUGUAAACAAAUUCCCUUUUUAUUUUUGAAUAUUAAACUUAUGUUUUUUGAAGGGAGUUUCUGUUGCAAUUUUGUUUGUUUGUUUUCACUUAGUUACCUCUAUGCAUUUUUUUUUUUAUCAACUUUUCUUUUUUUUCAUAGUGGAAUAAACUGGAGAGAGACUGUUCUGGGCACUAUGUUUAUCUGCGAAAAUUUUGACAUAUCAAUAAACACUGUAAAAUGACUAG